rnacentral:rRNA from 1 species
UACGGGGGGGGCAAGCGUUGUUCGGAAUUACUGGGCGGAAAGGGCUCGUAGGCGGCCAACUAAGUCAAACGUUAAAUCCCUCGGCUUAACCGGGGAACUGCGCUUGAUACUGGAUGGCUUGAGAUUGGGAGAGAGAUGCGGAAUUCCAGGUGUAGCGGUGAAAUGCGUAGAUAUCUGGAGGAACACCGGUGGCGAAGGCGGCAUCCUGGACCAAUUCUGACACUGAGGAGCGAAAGCCAGGGGAGCAAACGGG